GGCUCAGAUUGAACAUGGCUGGCGGCAUGCUUUACACAUGCAAGUCGAACGGUAACAGGUCUUCGGAUGCUGACGAGUGGCGAACGGGUGAGUACGUAAUACAUCGGAACGUGCCUAGUAGUGGGGGAUAACUACUCGAAAGAGUAGCUAAUACCGCAUGAGAUUUUAGUCUACGGAUGAAAGCAGGGGACCUUCGGGCCUUGUGCUAUGCACUAGAGCGGCUGAUGGCAGAUUAGGUAGUUGGUGGGGUAAAGGCUUACCAAGCCUGCGAUCUGUAGCUGGUCUGAGAGGACGACCAGCCACACUGGGACUGAGACACGGCCCAGACUCCUACGGGAGGCAGCAGUGGGGAAUUUUGGACAAUGGGCGAAAGCCUGAUCCAGCAAUGCCGCGUGCAGGAUGAAGGCCCUCGGGUUGUAAACUGCUUUUGUACGGAACGAAAAGCCUCGAAGGGGCUAAUAUCCCCGGGUCAUGACGGUACCGUAAGAAUAAGCACCGGCUAACUACGUGCCAGCAGCCGCGGUAAUGAAUACGUAGGGUGCAAGCGUUAAUCGGAAUUACUGGGCGUAAAGCGUGCGCAGGCGGUUUUGUAAGACAGUGGUGAAAUCCCCGGGCUCAACCUGGGAACUGCCAUUGUGACUGCAAGGCUAGAGUGCCGUACGGGCAGAGGGGGAUGGAAUUCCGCGUGUAGCAGUGAAAUGCGUAGAUAUGCGGAGGAACACCGAUGAUCGGCGAAGGCAAUCAUCCCCUG
rnacentral:rRNA from 1 species